AUCAUGACCUGAGCCGAAGGCAGAGGCUUAAACCACUGAGCCACCCAGGCGCCCCUCCGGCCUCAUUUCUGCUGUGAAAGAAAGGUCGUGGCCUUCCGUGUUUACUGCAGUUGUGGUUUUAUAGUUUCUGAGAAAAUGAAACCAUGGUAUUUCACAGAAUACUGAAAUAGCAAGGAAUCUCAUGAUGGCAGGUUUAGAAGGUUCUGGAGGCAGGGGCUAAGAAGGGAGACACCUAUGACCUCAUGAUCCCAUUUUAUUUAUUAAUUCAUUUUAGCAAAACGAUGGAAACAAGCUGAGCUAUCCCUUGUACUAAAUACUUGGAGGUGCCAACAUGGGGUCCCCAACACAGCCUGGGUUCCAGGGGACUCGAGGACACCCGUGCCAGUCCAGGCUCCCAAGUAAUGAUGACACAUCAGUCAGCCUAAAGACAACACCAAGUCAUUUCGAAGUCUGUGUAUGCGAUGAUUCGCAUCUGCGGUGCCUGGAGCCCACCUGAGCUGGCAGAAGGCUCUGCGCAGCGACGAGUCCCAGCCUUUCUGACCACCACUGCUCGGUUUUUGAAUGGAAACCCCAGGCCUUAUCCACUCCCAAUACCAACGGGGAACAGUCAGGGGCAGUGUGCGGUUCCCAGACUGUGGGGGAUGGGGUCCUUCUGUUUGGUCCCUUCCCAGGUCUAGGGUCCAUGGGAACAGGGGGUGGUG